rnacentral:rRNA from 1 species
CACGUAGGCACCAAGCGUUGUCCGGAUUUAUUGGGCGUAAAGAGCUCGUAGGCGGUCUGUCGCGUCGGCUGUGAAAACUCGGGGCUCAACCCCGAGCCUGCAGUCGAUACGGGCAGACUAGAGUGCUGUAGGGGAGACUGGAAUUCCUGGUGUAGCGGUGAAAUGCGCAGAUAUCAGGAGGAACACCGGUGGCGAAGGCGGGUCUCUGGGCAGUAACUGACGCUGAGGAGCGAAAGCGUGGGGAGCAAACAGG